AAACUCAAAUAAUUGACGGGACCCGCACAAGCAGCGGGAGCGUGUGUUUAAUUCGUUGCUACGCGAAGAACCUUACCUGGGUUUGACAUAUAGGUUGUAGGGAACUGAAAAGGGACCGACCCUUCGGGGAGCCUAUACAGGUGUUGCAUGGCUGUCGUCAGCUCGUGUCGUGAGAUGUUCGGUUAAGUCCGCUAACGAGCGCAACCCUCGUCGUAUAUUAUAUGUGUCAUACGAGACUGCCGGUAAAAGCCGGAGGAAGGUGAGGAUGAUGUCAAGUCAGCAUGACCUUUAUAUCCAGGGCUACACACACGCUACAAUGGUCUGUACAAUGGGUAGCCAAGCCGCGAGGCGGAGCCAAUCCUGAAAGCAGGCCUCAGUUCAGAUUGCAGUCUGCAACUCGACUGCAUGAAGCCGGAGUUGCUAGUAACCGCAGGUCAGCAAUACUGCGGUGAAUACGUUCCCGGGUCUU
rnacentral:rRNA from 1 species